UGCGUAGGCGGUGAUUUAAGUAGGAUGUGAAAUCUCCCGGCUCAACCGGGGAACUGCGUUCUAAACUGGAUCACUUGAGUGAGAUAGAGGUGUGCGGAACUUCCGGUGGAGCGGUGAAAUGUGUUGAUAUCGGAGGGAACACCGUUGGCGAAAGCGGCACACUGGGUCUUAACUGACGCUGAGGCACGAAAGCCAGGGGAGCAAAC
rnacentral:rRNA from 1 species